CCUACAGGAGGUAGCAGUGGGGAAUAUUGGACAAUGGGCGAAAGCCUGAUCCAGCCAUGCCGCGUGUGUGAAGAAGGCCUUCGGGUUGUAAAGCACUUUCAGUGGGGAAGAAAGCCUUGGGGCUAAUACCCUCGAGGAAGGACAUCACCCACAGAAGAAGCACCGGCUAACUCCGUGCCAGCAGCCGCGGUAAUACGGAGGGUGCGAGCGUUAAUCGGAAUUACUGGGCGUAAAGCGCGCGUAGGCGGUCUGAUAAGCCGGUUGUGAAAGCCCCGGGCUCAACCUGGGAACGGCAUCCGGAACUGUCAGGCUAGAGUGCAGGAGAGGAAGGUAGAAUUCCCGGUGUAGCGGUGAAAUGCGUAGAGAUCGGGAGGAAUACCAGUGGCGAAGGCGGCUUUCUGGACUGACACUGACGCUGAGGUGCGAAAGCGUGGGUAGCAAACAGGAUUAGAUACCCUGGGUAGUC
rnacentral:rRNA from 1 species